GAAAACCAAAGCACCAAGAAAGAUGAACAGAUUCUUGCCGAUGUCCCAUCAUAGAGAAAACAUAGCAGGAAAAUAGGGGAUCGAUCCUCGGACUAGAAAACAGGGAAUUUCCCUACUAGAUUCAUAGAGCAAGAAAUCAUGGGCGACGCCGGCCCAUAGAGUAGGAAUGGGUCCAGCAGGACCCCCUCGCUCACUGGGACAGUCAAUGCGGUGGACAUACUUAACAUUAGUGGCCGAGCAGCUAGCCACAGAACCCACACGUGUUCAUCCCGGCCUCUAGGGCACUCCACCC
rnacentral:lncRNA from 1 species